CGGGUGAGUAACGCGUGAGCAAUCUACCUUAGAGUGGGGGACAACAUCCGGAAACGGAUGCUAAUACCGCAUAAGACCACAGCGCCACAUGGCGCAGGGGUCAAAGGAGUAAUCCGCUUUAAGAUGAGCUCGCGUCCCAUUAGCUAGUUGGUGAGGUAACGGCCCACCAAGGCGACGAUGGGUAGCCGACCUGAGAGGGUGAUCGGCCACACUGGAACUGAGACACGGUCCAGACUCCUACGGGAGGCAGCAGUGGGGAAUAUUGGGCAAUGGGCGAAAGCCUGACCCAGCAACGCCGCGUGAUUGAAGAAGGCCUUCGGGUUGUAAAGAUCUGUCCUAUGGGACGAAAAAAAUGACGGUACCAUAGGAGGAAGCCCCGGCUAACUACGUGCCAGCAGCCGCGGUAAUACGUAGGGGGCGAGCGUUGUCCGGAAUUACUGGGCGUAAAGGGUGCGUAGGCGGCGCUUUAAGUCAGAUGUGAAAUACCCAGGCUUAACCUGGGGGGUGCAUUUGAAACUGGAGCGCUUGAGUGCAGGAGAGGAAAGUGGAAUUCCUAGUGUAGCGGUGAAAUGCGUAGAUAUUAGGAGGAACACCAGUGGCGAAGGCGACUUUCUGGACUGUAACUGACGCUGAGGCACGAAAGCGUGGGGAGCAAACAGGAUUAGAUACCCUGGUAGUCCACGCCAUAAACGAUGGAUACUAGGUGUAGGGGGCGAUAGCCCUUCUGUGCCGCCAGCUAACGCCAAUAA
rnacentral:rRNA from 1 species